rnacentral:rRNA from 1 species
UACGUAGGGGGCUAGCGUUGUCCGGAAUCAUUGGGCGUAAAGAGCGUGUAGGCGGCCCGGUAAGUCCGCUGUGAAAGUCGGGGGCUCAACCCUCGAAUGCCGGUGGAUACUGUCGGGCUAGAGUGCGGAAGAGGCGAGUGGAAUUCCUGGUGUAGCGGUGAAAUGCGCAGAUAUCAGGAGGAACACCAAUUGCGAAGGCAGCUCGCUGGGACGUUACUGACGCUGAGACGCGAAAGCGUGGGGAGCGAACAGG